UGACCCAACGUCUAUUUUUUUCCAGGACA
rnacentral:piRNA from 1 species